CUGGCAAUUUCUAAUCACAGUCACAAAAGCCAAUGCAUAAACGUUCAACUACAGGUGUCUAAUAAAGAUUUUUCUUGGUUAAUGUAAAAGUUUGUAAUCUUUUCAACCUCAGGAAAAUGUAAUUUUGUAUUUUUUUAAUUUUGAAUCUCAUGAAGGAUGUACAAAUAUACUGUCAUAUUAAAAAUAAUUUUUUGAUCAGCUUCAUUAUAGCCCUGGCUAGUUAUUACAUAAUACAUUCUAGAAAACUACAUUAUUGGUUUACAGGUUCAGGUUUGUAGUUAUACCAUUUUUAGUUAAUUACAUCUGAUAUUUGUGGUCAUUUCUAUCACUUCUAUGAAAAUUUGAGCAUCAGGAUUUGGUUAGGAGCAAAACCUCUUAUUUAUAUAUUCUAGGAAAGAUCAAGGACAACUUAUAUUGGUCUUAAUAUAUAACAUAUUUUCCAAAAAUUUAAUCUGGCUUUCUAUAUGCAUCCAGUAUUUUUUUCAUCAUAUUGACCAUUCAUAUUUUCCAGUGGAAAUCUAGUGGUGUCUCAUUCUGAUUAGUCAUAAUUUUGAAGCUUUCAAGUUAGCUUUAAUUAUUAAUACUAUAAGUAUCAUUUUAUAAAGUAGUAUUUUUAAGAAAAUAAAUAAUAACACUGAGAAUUUUUUUACUAAAAUAUAGUGAGAGUACAUUUACUGUUCCCUUUUCAGCAAACAUCAAAUCUAAAAAGUUAUUUCAUUCUGAGAAACUGAUGAAUUUUUAAAAUAUUACACAUUGGUUUUUCCCAAAUGUUCUCAGUUAAUUUGAUUUAUAAAGUGAUUCCUAAGAAGCAGGAAGUUAAAGUCUGAAAAACUUCAUAAAGUUUGGAUCAAAUAUAUGUUUACCAAAACUAAAAGACAACCCUAAAAUAUUCUAAUUAAGACGCUUUCAUGGUACAGAGAAAUGUGAUAUUUAUCUCUUAGGCAGAAGUCAGAACAAGGUUGUAAAAAGUAACCUCAUUCUUUAUUAACAAAAUAUCCAAAAACUCUAAAUUAUAAAUCAUCUAGUUUCUAAAGAGUUUAAGCCAUCUCUCUAGCAUUUUUUCUGCUCAAAAGAAAAUUGGUUAUAAAAAGUGAGGAUGAGGAAGUAGAAUCUUACUUAUUCGCAUUACUACAUAAAGGUAAAUACCAAAUACCUACUUAGCAAACAAAGAGACAGACUGUUUCCUUUACUAAUCAUGUCUUUAUAAUCCGAUGCCUAUUUUAGCUGUUUUUUGACCAUCUGUCUGUGUUUUGUUU
rnacentral:lncRNA from 10 species